rnacentral:rRNA from 1 species
CCUACGGGGGGCAGCAGUCGAGAAUCAUUCACAAUGGGGGAAACCCUGAUGGUGCGACGCCGCGUGGGGGAAUGAAGGUCUUCGGAUUGUAAACCCCUGUCAUGUGGGAGCAAAUUAAAAAGAUAGUACCACAAGAGGAAGAGACGGCUAACUCUGUGCCAGCAGCCGCGGUAAUACAGAGGACUCAAGCGUUGUUCGGAAUCACUGGGCGUAAGGCGUGCGUAGGCUGUUUCGUAAGUCGUGUGUGAAAGGCGCGGGCUCAACCCGCGGACGGCACAUGAUACUGCGAGACUAGAGUAAUGGAGGGGGAACCGGAAUUCUCGGUGUAGCAGUGAAAUGCGUAGAUAUCGAGAGGAACACUCGUGGCGAAGGCGGGUUCCUGGACAUUAACUGACGCUGAGGCACGAAGGCCAGGGGAGCGAAAGGGAUUAGAUACCCCUGUAGUC